CCAUUAUACAGAAACUGUGCAGCCGACGCUCUUGAAACGAACGCACCAUGAUUGAGCGAGCUGCGAGCUGUCAAACUUUUUCUCUCGCGCGUGUUCAUUCAUGUUUCGUGUUGGCCGUGUUGGCUGCAGUUUCGAAUCGAAAUCAAGUUUUACUCGCGUGUGCUUAUGAAAAAUAACCUCCGUCAUCAAAUCCGCCGGGUGAACGAACCGGAACAUCUCCGGGAUGGCGGAUUUUUCUCACAUUUGGUGGGCGUGUGGAGCUGUUCGGUUACGGGACAAAACCCGCAGUGGAAACGCAGACCCGGCGCAUACUGCGGACAUUUCCGGCCACCGUCAAUAAUCCAUUCCGAAUGGAGGCCUCCAAGAUGCCAAGUGCUCGAUCUGGAAAAGCUACGAGGAGUUCGAACAUCUUCGUAGUCUACUACUUCCAACGCGGAUGCUCGUAGACGUGAAAUGCGGACAUUCCAGUUUGCCAUCAUGGUUCCUUUCUUGGUGGCAACGUUAAUUCCUGAAGCAGCAGGACAUUUGAAGAUGAAGAAGUGGACUCUCGACAAAACGGAGCUUUUAGCCGACAGCUUGAAGCGGAAUUACGAAAGAAAACGUCGGAGGGAGCCCAACGACAGUUUCAACUCGACCGCGGCGGUGAUUAAAGGAAACCCUUCCUGAAUGGCGAGAUGCUGGACGGACGGCGGUGACGAAAAUCCUGACGGGAGUUGUGAGUGAUGAGUAAUAAGAAAAGCUUGGUUUGUUUCUAAUAAAUUGUUUCAUUUUUGAAGUUCAAUUUAAAAAAAACAGUGUAAAUGAAACUAAAAUAAAAUAAAACAUACUGUUAAUUUAAGGAAAAUACCGUAAAACAUACCAUAAAUAAAAUAAAAGUACAAUAAAACCUGCUGUAGUUAUUAUUUAUUUCAAUGUACGAAUAUAGUUUAAACAGUACUAUUUAGCAGGGAAAAAAUCUUGAAGAACUAUACAUUUACUGUGAAAUCCAUUGUAAAGGUUACUGUAUUUGUUGUAAAUGUAUGAUGUUUUCUAUAGUCAGGGCAAGUUUUUCAAUGAAAAAUGCAACAUUAGAUUAACAGUAAAAUGCGUCGUAUUUGGAAAAAAAAUGUAUGGAAAAAUUUCGAAAUUUUUAUGGUACCGGUGCAUAACAACCCCCCUUUUUUAUGGUAAAGUCCCAAAAUACGACGCAAAUUAUCUUAAAAAACGAUGCUGUCUACUGUUAAAACACUGUCAAAAUGACAAUAUAUUUUAUCGUUUUGUAACGUUAAAAUUUACUGUAAGUUCAUCAGAAAUCUUUAUGC